rnacentral:other from 1 species
CUCGCCCUGGGGUGUUGGCCAGUCAUGAAGUUCUUGAGCCGAUAAUCUUAGACCGGGGGCAGCAUUGGUGCAGGCGUGCAAGUCCGCGCGACGGAAAGCCCAACACACUGAUAACGCCCCCACUUGAACCUUAGGGUUCAAGGCCAAUUUGACAGCGGCACCACCGGGGACUUU